GUAAGAUUUAUAUAGCACUUUAAGAUUUACAAAGGGAUUUAUGUAAAUCUCAUUUCUUCUCUUGAAAGCAUAAUGCUGAGGAAGAGUGUAAAAACUGUGCCAUGGCUACCAGGAAAUGAGGACUCCCCCUUGGUUUAUAAAAGAAUACACCACGAGGACCAUUUGACUGUCCCCUCUGGCUCCUGCAUCUUGCUUCCAGCAUGAACAGACAGGUAAUAACCAUUCAGCAGGGCCAUUACCUCUUCUAAAGACUAUUAUCAAAAUGGUCAUUAUACAUAA
rnacentral:lncRNA from 1 species